rnacentral:rRNA from 1 species
CUACGGGAGGCUGCAGUGGGGAAUAUUGGACAAUGGGGAAACCCUGAUCCAGCAAUGCCGCGUGUGUGAAGAAGGCCUGCGGGUUGUAAAGCACUUUCGGUUGGGAGGACUGCUUCUAGCACUAAUAUUGUUGGAAGUUGACGUUACCUUCAGAAGAAGCACCGGCUAACUCCGUGCCAGCAGCCGCGGUAAUACGGAGGGUGCAAGCGGUAAUCGGAAUUACUGGGCGUAAAGCGCGCGUAGGCGGCUAGAUCAGUCGGGUGUGAAAGCCCCGGGCUUAACCUGGGAACUGCAUCCGAUACUGUCUAGCUUGAGUACAGGAGAGGAGAGUGGAAUUCCACAUGUAGCGGUGAAAUGCGUAGAUAUGUGGAGGAACACCAAUGGCGAAGGCAGCUCUCUGGCCUGAUACUGACGCUGAGGUGCGAAAGCGUGGGGAGCAAACAGGAUUAGAUACCCCCGUAGUC